rnacentral:rRNA from 1 species
UACGGGGGUGGCGAGCGUUGUCCGGAAUUACUGGGCGUAAAGAGCUCGUAGGCGGUUUGUUGCGUCGGCUGUGAAAUCCCGAGGCUCAACCUCGGGUCUGCAGUCGAUACGAGCAAACUAGAGUGUUGCAGGGGAGACUGGAAUUCCUGGUGUAGCGGUGAAAUGCGCAGAUAUCAGGAGGAACACCGGUGGCGAAGGCGGGUCUCUGGGCAACAACUGACGCUGAGGAGCGAAAGCGUGGGGAGCGAACAGG